UUUAUUCACUGAAAGGUUCCUACACAUCCAGAACUUCAGCAGCAGAGUGCACUCUUUGUUCCUGUUUUUACCGGUUGCAUAAACUAAUACAGAUCCUGUUGUUAAUACCAACGAGUUUUAAUUAAUUUAAGAGCAAUUCUGGAAGACACUCGAUAGAAAAUAUAAAAAAAAAAAUUACUGUACAUAUUUUACAUCACAUUUGAAAAGAGAAGAAGGUGACUGUGCCCCCCGUGAGAUGGGCUGCACCUACAUUCACUGACACGUGGCUCCUGUAGCAGCAUCACAACCAGCCCCACAGGCCUCACACCGGCUGAUGCAAACAGGAACGACCCCAGAGGCCAUCACAAGUGUCUCCUCUCUGAUAGAAGGGGGCAGGAGCCCGGGUUUGGUUUUCAGGAGCAGUUUAUGGGUGUUAAAUGCAAACCCAAGGUCAGGUUAAAUUUGAAUCCCAAAUCUCGUAGUUCAGGGCAGGUUUGAAGCCCCCUCCCCAUGCCCAGGGCAGGAGCACAGGCCCGUGUUCCCCUGCCAGCACUGAGCACACCGAGGUGCAGCACGAAGGGCUGUCGGGUCCCGGGGCAGCGCCUGUGGGAAUGGGGGAAGCUCUGCGUGGGGCAGGGGCAGCGCGUCCUCAUGGGCAGGGUGUGAGUCACACCCGAGGGCAGGCACAGGAAGGACGAACAGCGAUGGGGUUUGGUUGGGUUUUAAUUACUGUGUUUUAGUCGGGCUCUCAUGCAGUGCUGGCUGUCCUGCCCCUCACCGGUCACAGCGUCAGGAGCAAACCACGGCUCUGUUGCUCCCCAGCGAGGCUCCUGCACGCGUGUGCGGCAGCCGAUGAGGGGCAAGCUCAAGUGUCCGUGUGCCAGUUGUUGAGUGGUUCCUGCAGGGAAGUUCCAGGUGUCCCGGCUCCCAGGAGCUGUUCCAGGCGCACCGAGGGCAGUGGUGAGGAGCACACGGGGGCUGCUGUCGCCCAGCACCCGCUGCAGCAGGAGCAGAGCAAAGCCCAUGAGGGCUCCUGCUUUAGGUUUGGGGGUGCUGCUGUGAUUUAAGCAGCAGGGAAAACAACUGCUUAAAACUGCUGACACAGCACUACUGAGAGAACAAACAGGAGCAAGUCUGCAGGAGAACAGGGUGGUGAAGGCUGAACACAUGGGAGCGCGGGGGGGUGUUUGCUUUGGAACAGUGGGGAGAGGAGGGAGGUCAGAAGCGUACCGCAGCGCCUGGCUACCACCAGAUGGAUGUUUUACAUGAGACACGUCAAACUCACUCUGCCAGAGCGCUUGUGGGAGCACUCCCGGCUUGCCCAAGGCGGAGCAGCUCUGCUCAACAGAACUCAGGGGUCUCUUUGCCUCCGAAUUUUCUACGAGUCACCCACCCACCUGUAGCCAACCAAGUGCCUGUUGCCUUCCCUGCAUCAUGGGGGGCUUAGAGCUGCCCCCGUGCUACUCGCAGCCCCUCACGGUGAAAGGUGUGUGUCUGGGGGGUGUAAUGUACUAGUGCUGUUGGAGAAAUGGAAUUUGGUGACUUCAGGGACCCCUCAGGACCCGUCCUCACUUGUAACCUCCAUGUCAUGCACUGGAGAGGGCAUGGUGAGGAGUGUGUGUCUUAACCCAGCUUAGGCUAUGUCAGGUUAAUUUUAAGCUAGAUGCUCUGGAGCCAGGUGUGACAUUCCUGCUUGCAGGAACUGUGCUCUUCUUAAGUCUUCCCCAAAACAAUCACUUUAUUCCUGAAUUUUCCAAACAUAGAGUUUGCAGACUUCAAUAUGACUGGCUGCAGGGGCUGGUAACACUGGGCGGGGGGGAGGUAUGUAUGUGUGUGUGAAAUGACUUCACCUCUCUUAACCAGCUCCGUGCAUCACAACCUUGUUUAAUGCAUUACUUAGGGAUGGCUUCUCCCCUUGUCCUGUCUCUUGUGUCCCUCUGGACCAUGUCUUGUCUUCCACAAGUGCAGUGGUGCCUGGGGCAGGGAUCGGGUCUGGCUGGUCAGUGCGGUACCUCCAGAGGUGCUGCUGGCUUCAGGAACUGAACUGUGCCUAAAACAAAGGGAGCAUUUGGCCCCGUGUGUGGAGCUCUCACAAGUCAUGGUUUCAUAUUUUAAAGGCCAGCAAGGCUUAAGCUUCCUACAGGAUUGUACAAGAAGAGGCGGCUUUGACUGAGUUCUGUGUAGCAGAGCCCUCGAGUCCUUAAUUGCGACAUGGCCCAUGGGG
rnacentral:lncRNA from 1 species